ensembl:lncRNA
UGUAGGUCUCAGCUACAUCUGCAGAACCAUGCCUGCUUGCCUGUUGCCAUGCUUCCUGCCAUGACAAUGAACUAAACCUCUGAAGCUGUAAGCAAGCCCCAAAUUAAAUGUCAUCUUCCAUAAGUUGCCUUGGUCAUGGUGUCUUUUCACAGUAAUAGAAGAGUAAUUAAGGCAGAAGUUGAUAACAGGAACUGGGGUAUUGCUAUGAUAGGCAUGACCAAACAGGCUGUUGUUUGGAGAAAUACAGAUGACUGUGGGAUGAUUGGACUAUGCAGGUUUGCCUCAAGAGGUUUCAGUAGGAAGAAUUUUAGUAAGUGACCUAGAGACCAUUCUUAUGAUACUCAGGCAACAAUGUGGCUGCUAAGAGUUUUGGAUUAAGGUUAUUGACAGAGGAAAUUUCAAGAUGGCCUAGUAUUGACUUUGUACAUUAUUAUUACUAAUUACUCUUAUGCAGAUCAACAAUGAAAAACAGCAAACAUCUCAAAAAAUAUAAAAUUUACAGUUUGAGAAGAAAAGAAGCACCCGGGAAUACAAUAUUGGAGCCAAGUCCAGUGUUCAAGGAGAUAAAAGUUUAAGGAAAGGCCUAAUUCAAAGUGGAAUAAAAGGAGUGAUACCCUUAGAGAAAGACCCCACCCAUCUAAGCUCCCAACCUGUAAAAGAAUUAAAGGAAUGCUGAAGGUUCAGAGAAAACUAUCAGCAAGGAAAAGCUUAUGCAAACACAUGUCAAAGAUGUACCCAGGUUCCAACCUCAGCAAGCAGAAGAGAAUUUGGCAGCUUCAGCCUGAGAUCUGGCUUUAGUAUUAAAAAUACAGGAAAGGGGUUUUGGAAUCUUCCUCUGCAGUUAAGGAAAGCUGCAGAGGCAAAGUGUGUCAGAGCAGUCCCUGCAUGAGGCCUGGAGAAACUAUUGCAUGAAGCUGAGAAGGUUUGUGAAUCCUGGAUUAUGCUGGAGACUUCAGGAUGUUGGAGAUGCCAGAAUUCUGGGAUAUCUGCAAGGAGAGCUAUAGACCAGGUUUGAAACCAGUCCCAAACAGAGAAGUGUGUUGCAGUCAAUAAAGCUGAAAAGAGUUGGGUAUCUGAAGAAUGCUUUGACAUCAGACAUGGAGUUCCUGGUGGAGAACAGAUGUGCGGUCAAUGGACAGACCACAGGGCUGGCUGGAGCUUUAGGAUAAGGUCUGUAAUCUCAAUUUAAGUUGAAAAUUUUACAAAGUUGCUUAAUUUUGGGUGCUUUGCAAAGAAGUCUUGGUACUGUUUUUGGUGAUUGAAAACCACCUGGCAUUCUUCUAAGUGAUGAUUAGGUGUUUCAAGGUCCAACAGUAUAUUAUUUGUCUCUGGAACUCAGUAAGGAUCUUUUUGGAUAUAUACUACAUGCAUACACAUAUUUACAUGGUCUCCCAACAUUUGCUGUUGUAGAAGAAUAAUUGUGGAUGAGUGGUUUAUCAACAGAGUGGGAUUCUUGAGAAUAGGUCUAAAAGCAGGAAAUUUCAAGAUUUGGCAGCAGCUAUGUCUGGCCAUUGCCUAGUACUUCAUCAAAACAUGGUGGAAGGCACUACAUAAUGGAGUAUGUCUGAGAUCCAUUGACUGUGACCAGAGUGGAAGAGAUGCUUU